AGUGAACGCUGGCGGUAGGCCUAACACAUGCAAGUCGAACGGCAGCACAGUAAGAGCUUGCUCUUACGGGUGGCGCGUGGCGGACGGGUGCGGAAUACAUCGGAAUCUACUUUUUCGUGGGGGAUAACGUAGGGAAACUUACGCUAAUACCGCAUACGACCUACGGGCGAAAGCAGGGGAUCUUCGGACCUUGCGCGAUUGAAUGAGCCGAUGUCGGAUUAGCUAGUUGGCGGGGUAAAGGCCCACCAAGGCGACGAUCCGUAGCUGGUCUGAGAGGAUGAUCAGCCACACGGGAACUGAGACACGGUCCAGACUCCUACGGUAGGCAGCAGUGGGGAAUAUUAGACGAUGGGGGCAAGCCUGAUCCAGCCAUACCGCGUGAGUGAAGAAGGCCUUCGGGUUGGAGAGCCCUUUUGUUGGGAAAGAAAAGCAGCAGGUUAAUACCCCGCUGUUCUGACGGUACCCAAAGAAUAAGCACCGGCUAACUUCGUG
rnacentral:rRNA from 1 species